CUGCCUCUGUCAGUGGUAAAUGGUUCUCCUGGGUUCAUUAACCUUUGUGAUGCCCUGAAUGCCUGGCAGCUAGUCCGAGAGCUGAAGAGUGCCCUGGGCAUGCCCGCUGCCACCUCCUUCAAACACGUCAGCCCUGCAGGCUGUAGCGCUCAGCUCUGACGCCUUCUUCCCCUUCAGAGACAACGUGGACCGCGCCAAACGGAGUGGUGUGGAGUACAUUGCUGCCCCGGCCGGGUCCACAGCUGACGAGGUGGUGAUCAAUGCCUGUAAUGAGCAGGGCAUCACCCUGGUGCACACCAACCUGAGACUCUUCCACCACUGAAUACCUGGAGUGGCUGUCAUACAACACAACCUGACACGCCACACACCGUUAUGGCCCUGAGUAACUUAGAAGUAGCUAUGUGUGUCUACGUGUUGGAGGUCCAUUAACUGCUCUAGAAGAGUGAUCAACAAAGGUACUAACAGUGUUUUUUCUUUUUACACUGAUUCCUGUCCUACGGUUAUCAUGCACAAACAGCAUGAGUCAUGCUGAGGAUCAUUCGGAUUCCGUUACAUUCCAAUCAUAGUUGUAUCUCCGUUACUGUCUGGAAGGUCAAGUUUCACCAUGAAAUAAACUGUUUCUUGAGAAAUCCUGUGGAGUGUGACUAUGCAAACACUAUUUUAUGUUAUAGCAAUAUUAAGCUGAAAGUCAGGGACUGACUACACUAACAUGGAAUUGUUUUAUGAUUGUCGGACCAUUUAGCUAUUUGAAUUCUAGGAUGUUUUUUUUUGUAUCAAAAAUAUCUACAAAUAUUUGUAAGUUUUGAAGUUGCCCUUCACUAUCGCUCAUAGAAACGCGUUGCGUAACACAUGGCUAAGACAGCCCCCCCCCCAAUCGUUUAUUAUUGUUGGAUAUAAGACUGUAAAAACACUAGGAAAUCUGCUCCAAGUGAUUUUAAUCUAAGAAAUCUGUUCCCAAGUAUUCCCACGCAUAAUAGACAAAUGUAAGCUAGGUUUGAAAUUGUUUUUAAGCUCAAAUGUUUUGGGAGAUUUUAACCCCUUUUCUUAACUACCUCCAUACUUUAAUUCAUUUGUAUGGGUUACCUUUAGACAAGUCCUGUGACUCUUGUGGAGAACUCCUUCCACCGCAGAUGGUUGACAUACAAUGCCUUCAGAAAGUAUUCACACCCCUGUACCUUUCCCACAUUUUGUUACAGCCUGAAUUAAACAUUUAUUAAAUUGGUGGGGGUUUUUUUUGUCACUGGCCUACACACAAUAACGUGGAAUUGUUUUAGCUCUUUUAAUUAAUUAAAAGUAGUUAUGUAUUCAACCUCUUUAUGGUAAGUUCAGGAGUAAAAAUAUGCACCAGUGGCAUGGACUUACUGAGUGUAAUAAUGGUGCCUAACAUGAUUUUUGAAUGACUACCUCAUCUCUGUACCCCACAUACAAUUAUCUGUAAGGUCGCACAGUGACUUUCCAACAGAUUCAACCAGAAAGACCAGGGAGGCUUUGCAAAGGCCACCUAUUGGUAAAUACAAUUCAAAGACAUUGAAUAUCCCUUUGAGCAUGGUGACGUUCUUAAUUACAAUUUGUAUGGUGUAUCAAUACACCCAGUCACUACAAAGAUACAGGUGUCCUUCCUAACUCUGUUGCCGGAGAGGAAGGUUAACGCUCAGAUUUCACAAGGUCAAUGGGGACUUUCCAAUAGUUUAUUGGCUGUGAUAAGAGAACUGGGGAUGGAUCAACAUUGUUGAUGGUGUGAAAAGGAAGCCUGUACAGGAAUAUUUUUUUUCUCCAAAAUAUGCAUCCUGUUUGCACCAGUAAUACUGCAAUAACUUUUUGUCCUGAAUACAAAGUGCUAUAUUUGGGGCAAAUCCAACACAUUACUGAGUACCACUGCAUAUUUUCAAGUAUAGUGGUGGCUGCAUCAUGGUCUGGUUAUGCUUGUAAUUAAGGACUGGGGAGGUUUUCAGGAUGGAGACUGGAGCUAAAGCACAGGGAAAAUCAUAAACCUGGGUGUCUGCUUUCCACCAGACACUGGGAGAUGAAUUCACCUUUCAGCUGGACUAUAACCUAAAACACAAGGCCAAAUCUACACUGGAGUUGCUAACAAAGAAGACAGUGAAUGUUCCUGAGUGACCUAGUUACAGAUUUGAAUUAAAUCUGCUUGAAGAUCUAUUUCAAGAUGCAAAUGGUUGUCCAGCAAUGAUCAACAACCAACUUGACAGAGCUUGAAGAAUAAAAAAAGGAGCCAAUAUCGUAUAAUCCAUGUGUGGAAAGCGCUUGGAGACUUAGUAAAUCGCUGCCAAAGGUGAUUCUAACGUAUAUUGACUCAGGGGUGUGAAUACUUAUCUAAAUGAGAUAUUUCUGUAUUUAAUUUUCAAUAAAUUAGCACAAAAAAAAAAUGUUUUCACUUUGUCGUUCUGGGGUAUUUGUGUGUAGGUGGGUGAGACAUCUAUCUAAUCCGUGUUGAAUUCAGGCUAUAACACAACAUGUGGAAUAAGUCCAGGCGUAUCAAUAUAUUCUGA
rnacentral:lncRNA from 1 species